GAUGAACGCUGGCGGCGUGCUUAACACAUGCAAGUCGAACGAUGAAGCCCAGCUUGCUGGGCGGAUUAGUGGCGAACGGGUGAGUAACACGUGAGUAACCUGCCCUUGACUCUGGGAUAAGCCCGGGAAACUGGGUCUAAUACCGGAUAGGAGCGCCUGUCGCAUGACGGGUGCUGGAAAGAUCUUUCGGUCAUGGAUGGACUCGCGGCCUACCAGCUUGUUGGUGAGGUAACGGCUCACCAAGGCGACGACGGGUAGCCGGCCUGAGAGGGUGACCGGCCACACUGGGACUGAGACACGGCCCAGACCCCUACGGGAGGCAGCAGUGGGGAAUAUUGCACAAUGGGCGAAAGCCUGAUGCAGCGACGCCGCGUGAGGGAUGACGGCCUUCGGGUUGUAAACCUCUUUCAGCAGGGAAGAAGCGAAAGUGACGGUACCUGCAGAAGAAGCACCGGCUAACUACGUG
rnacentral:rRNA from 1 species